rnacentral:rRNA from 1 species
GUGGGGAAUAUUGGACAAUGGGGGGAACCCUGAUCCAGUCAUGCCGCGUGUGUGAAGAAGGCCUUUUGGUUGUAAAGCACUUUAAGCGAGGAGGAGGCUACCGAGAUUAAUACUCUUGGAUAGUGGACGUUACUCGCAGAAUAAGCACCGGCUAACUCUGUGCCAGCAGCCGCGGUAAUACAGAGGGUGCAAGCGUUAAUCGGAUUUACUGUGUGUAAAGAGCGCGUAGGUGGCCAAUUAAGUAAAAUGUGAAAGCCCCGAGCUUAACUUGGGAAUUGCACUCGAUACUGGUUGGCUAGAGUAUGGGAGAGGAUGGUAGAAUUCCAGGUGUAGCGGUGAAAUGCGUAGAGAUCUGGAGGAAUACCGAUGGCGAAGGCAGCCAUCUGGCCUAAUACUGACACUGAGGUGCGAAAGCAUGGGGAGCAAACAGGAUUAGAAACCCCAGUAGUCC